rnacentral:rRNA from 1 species
UACGGGGGGGGCAAGCGUUGUUCGGAAUCACUGGGCGUAAAGGGCGUGUAGGCGGAUAGAUAAGUCGGGCGUGAAAUCCCCAGGCUCAACCUGGGAACUGCACUCGAAACUGUUUAUCUUGAGUGCCGGAGAGGAAAGCGGAAUUCCUGGUGUAGAGGUGAAAUUCGUAGAUAUCAGGAGGAACACCAGUGGCGAAGGCGGCUUUCUGGACGGUAACUGACGCUGAGACGCGAAAGCGUGGGGAGCAAACAGG